GGAAAAUCUUGUUUUUUCCUUCCUCUUCUGUUGCUAUGAUCCUCAGAUGCAGAGGGCUCUCUUUAAAAGACGCUGGGGGGCAAUUCCUUUAUGCACAUGUGGGCAUCUCUGCAUCUGGCAAGGCUGGAGCCAGGCCAUGGAGGUCUGGAAGAGGGACCACACAGGCCAGGCAGGGGACCACCAGGGAUGCCCUGCUAGUUGGUCUCGGCACCUCUCCAAUGCCGCCCUCAGGACUACUGGGAGAAGACUCAGGACACAGAAGUGAAGGGAAAAGGGAGGGUCACUGUCACGCAGGGGCAGAAGCUAGAGCCAUGGAGUGGGUGAGCUCCUCAUCCCAUCUGUCUCUCGUCCAAUGUGAGGCUCACUGAGAGCAGAGUGCGCAGCAGCUCCAGGCUGAUUCAGGGCCACUGCAGAAGGGCGUCCAGUGAGAGGCCCCAGAUAGAGAGAACAGACAACACACUCUGCUGGGAGCAGUGUCUCCUUGCUUGAGUGCAGGCCACAUAGCACAUCAUGAAGAUGGAAGAUUCCAGAAAGAGUGAGGGAUGCAGGAGAAGCCUGCUAGGGGAGGCCAAUCUCGUUUCCACACCUGCCCUGGGCACCUUUGAAACCCCUGGAUGUAGCAGCUUGGGCGGUGGACCCCCUGGGGCAUCCAUGCAUCUUUAUUGUUAGUAAUCCUGCUCUCACUACUCCUUCAAAGUUACCCCCUCCAUCUGCUCCAUUGCUCCUAAGAACAGCUUCUUUAUCCAGCUCAACACACCUUUCCUGUUUCUCUGUUUACAGGAGAGAGACUAGGAAGGGAGGGGGCAGGGCACAGAAGACCUAGCCUAGGGUUUCUUUUAUUGAGUUCUGCCAUGUGUCAGAGCAGGGACCCAACUAGCUAGGGUCAUAGUCCAGACUAGCAUGUUGAACUCCCAACAUAUAGCUGAAUAAUUUAUACGCUUUUUACUUGUUUUUGCCGUUUUCUGAUAGUAGUUGGCAUUUACUGACUUCUGUCUAUAAGUUUGGCCCCUUGCUGGGCACCCCGCAUGCACAAUCCCUUUUCAGUCUCUUGUAUUGAGAUAUAUUUUAUGCACAGCAAAAGUGCGAACAUCUUAAGUAUAGAGUUUGGUGAGUUUUGACAAAUGUAUACACCCAUGUACCCAUCACCCCCAAACAGGAAUAGAGGACAUUUCCAUCCCCCCAAAAGUUCCCUUGUGCCUCUUUCUAUUCACCAUCCUUACCCCACCCUCACAUGAAAGUAACCACUGCUCUGAUUUCUGUCGCCACAGGUUCGUUUGCCUGUUCUAGAACUUACGAAUGGAAGUUUUGCUUUUUCACAUCUGGCUUUUUUCACUCUGUGUAGUGUUUAUGACAUUUCUCCAGGUAUAGCAGGAGCCACUCCAUUUAAUUCCUGCCUAAUAUUCUGUUGUCGGAAUAUACCGCACUCUGUUUAUCCUUCAUCUGUUGAUGGACAUGUGGGUUGUUGUCAAGUUCUGGUGAUUACGAACAAGCCUGCUACGAGCUGUCAUGUACGAGGCUUUUUAUAGACAUAAGUCUUGGGGAAAUACCUAGGAGUGGAAUUGUUGGGUCAUAUGCUAAGUAUAUUUUUAACUUUAUAAGCAACUGCCAAACUGUUUUUCCAAGUGGUUGUGUCAUUUUUGUACUCCCACCCUGAGUGCGUGAGAGUUCCAACUGCUCCACAUCGUCACCAACACUUGGUAUUGACAGUCUUUUCAUUGCGGCCAUUCUAGUGGGUGUGAAAUGGUAUCUCGUGAUUUGCGUUUCCCUGACGACAAAUGUCAUUGAUCACCUUUUCAUGUUCUUAGUGUCUAUAUCUUCUUUUGUGAAGUGUCUGUUUAUGCGUUUGGGCAGGGGAAAUGUUUGUCUUAUUAUUGAGUUGCAAGAGUUCUCAACGUGUUCUGGGUACGAGUCCCCUGUCAGCUCUAUGUGCUGCAAAGGUUUCCUUCCAGUCUGUGCCAGCCCUGUCCCUUUUGAUGCUUGCAGGAACCCUAGGAAGUGGAUGUUAUUAUCUCUGCUUUGUUUUAGAAAGUCAGAAUCUGAAGCAAAGAGAGGUUAAGUGAAAAGCCCAAAGUCACACAGCUACUCAGUAGCAGAGUGGGAAUGCAGACCCAUUGGUGUAUGACUCAGAGCUUUGACAUCCAGAACAUCCCAGAGAGUGUCUCUCCACACAUGAAGCCUUGUAUCUCCCUGGCAGCCUCGAGAUGCGUGGUCCUCAAGUCAGGGCCCAGGCUGGGUUAUUUCAGUUCACACUCACUCCCUCUGCCUCGCACAUACCAGACCAUCCUGGGAAGUGGCUGGCUCCCAGAACCCAGCUGGGAGAACCGUCUUCUCAGGAGGAUGCCAC
rnacentral:lncRNA from 1 species